CGGGCUGGGAGAGACUCUGUACUCGGUCCCUGCCCUGUGGGUACGUGGUCAUGCAGCGGUGCAGGCAGCUGGUCUUCCACAGCUUGGGACAACACUGCUGUUCAACUGCUGAUGACAGAGCAGAGACCUGCAGUGCAUGACUUCUUAGGAAGCCUGUUCCCAUUUGGGAGCAAGAGGCUCCUGCUGCCCCUGGAUGAGGUGCAAAGAUGCUAUCAUGAGAUGUAUUUAAGGAUGCCAGGAGGAACUCUGGCUGAUCCAGUGUCUCCUUCAGAUGGGUUGUGAAGAUUAAAUGAAGUAAUGUGUUACUACUAUCUAAGAAGGAUCUGAUACAGUUUCAGGAACAAUAAAAAGAGUUUGAAAAAUGGUUGCUAUUAUGAU
rnacentral:lncRNA from 1 species